UACAGAGGUCUCAAGCGUUGUUCGGAUUCAUUGGGCGUAAAGGGUGCGUAGGCGGCGCGGUAAGUCGGAUGUGAAAUCUCGGAGCUUAACUUCGAAACUGCAUUCGAUACUGCCGUGCUUGAGGACUGGAGAGGAGACUGGAAUUUACGGUGUAGCGGUGAAAUGCGUAGAUAUCGUAAGGAAGACCAGUGGCGAAGGCGGCAUCCUGGACCGGUAUUGACGCUGAGGCGCGAAAGCCAGGGGAGCAAACGGG
rnacentral:rRNA from 1 species